UAUAAGGGAUUUUGAGUUUUUGCUUGCAAUGUUUGACCACUCGUCUUAUUCAAAUUUUUUUGAAACUAUUAAUUAUUUUAUUUUUGACUUACUUUAUUAUCUACAGUACUUUAAGUACAAAUUUUUGUUUUGUAUAUUUGCAAAAAUAAAUUUAAAUAAGACGAGUGGUCAAACGUUACAAGCAAAAACUGAAAAUCCCUUAUA
rfam:Oryza sativa (indica cultivar-group) chromosome 10, whole genome shotgun sequence.